rnacentral:rRNA from 1 species
UACGAAGGGGGCUAGCGUUGCUCGGAAUUACUGGGCGUAAAGCGCACGUAGGCGGCUUUUUAAGUCGGAGGUGAAAUCCUGGAGCUCAACUCCAGAACUGCCUUCGAUACUGAAGAGCUCGAGUCCGGGAGAGGUGAGUGGAACUGCGAGUGUAGAGGUGAAAUUCGUAGAUAUUCGCAAGAACACCAGUGGCGAAGGCGGCUCACUGGCCCGGUACUGACGCUGAGGUGACGAAAGCGUGGGGAGCAAACAGG